GUAGGUGGCAAGCGUUGUCCGGAAUUAUUGGGCGUAAAGCGCGCGCAGGCGGUUCUUUAAGUCUGAUGUGAAAGCCCACGGCUAACCGUGGAGGGUCAUUGGAAACUGGAGAACUUGAGUACAGAGGAGGAAAGCGGAAUUCCACGUGUAGCGGUGAAAUGCGUAGAGAUGUGGAGGAACACCAGCGGCGAAGGCGGCUUUCUGGUCUGUAACUGACGCUGAGGCGCGAAAGCGUGGGGAGCAAACAGGGAUUAGAUACCCUGGUAGUCCACGCCGUAAACGAUGAGUGCUAAGUGUUAGGGGGUUUCCGCCCCCCUUAGUGCUGCAGCUAACGCAUUAAGCACUCCGCCUGGGGAUACGGCCGCAAGGCUG
rnacentral:rRNA from 1 species